rnacentral:tRNA from 1 species
AGGGCCAUAGCUCAAUAGGUAGAGCGCCGCUCUUGGCAUCAUAAGGCGGAGAUUGUAGGUUCGAAUCCUACUGGCCCGA